AUGCAUGUCUAAGUAUAAGCAAUCUAUACAGUGAAACUGCGAAUGGCUCAUUAAAUCAGUUAUCGUUUAUUUGAUAGUACCUUCCUACUUGGAUAACCUGUGGUAAUUCUAGAGCUAAUACAUGCUACAAACCCCCCAGACUAAAGAAGGGGCGUAUUUAUUAGAUAAAAAACCAAUGCCUUCGGGCUCCUUGGUGAUUCAUAAUAACUCAACGAAUCGCAUGGCCUUGCGCCGGCGAUGGUUCAUUCAAAUUUCUGCCCUAUCAACUUUCGAUGGUAGGAUAGUGGCCUACCAUGGUUUCUACGGGUAACGGGGAAUUAGGGUUCUAUUCCGGAGAGGGAGCCUGAGAAACGGCUACCACAUCCAAGGAAGGCAGCAGGCGCGCAAAUUACCCAAUCCCGACACGGGGAGGUAGUGACAAUAAAUACUGAUGCGAGAGCUCUUUUGGGUUUUCUAGUUGGAAUGAGUACAAUUUAAAUUUCUUAAUGAGGAACAAUUGGAGGGCAAGUCUGGUGCCAGCAGCCGCGGUAAUUCCAGCUCCAAUAGCGUAUAUUAAAGUUGUUGCAGUUAAAAAGCUCGUAGUUGAAACUCAGGCCUGGCUGGCCGGUCCGCCUCACCGCGAGCACUGGUUCGGCCGGGCUCUUUUCCUUCUGGGGAGCCGCAUGCCCUUCACUGGGUGCGUUGGGGAACCAGGACUUUUACUUUGAAAAAAUUAGAGUGUUCAAGCAGCAUAUGCUCGGAUACAUUAGCAUGGAAUAAUAGAAUAGGAACGUGUGGUUCUCUUUUGUUGGUUUCUAGGACCGCCGUAAUGAUUAAUAGGGAUAGUCGGGGGCAUCAGUAUUCAAUUGUCAGAGGUGAAAUUCUUGGAUUUAUUGAAGACUAACUACUGCGAAAGCAUUUGCCAAGGAUGUUUUCAUUAAUCAGUGAACGAAAGUUAGGGGAUCGAAGACGAUCAGAUACCGUCGUAGUCUUAACCAUAAACUAUGCCGACUAGGGAUCGGACGGUGUUACUAUAUUGACCCGUCCGGCACCUUACGAGAAAUCAAAGUUUUUGGGUUCUGGGGGGAGUAUGGUCGCAAGGCUGAAACUUAAAGACAUUGACGGAAGGGCACCACCAGGCGUGGAGCCUGCGGCUUAAUUUGACUCAACACGGGGAAACUCACCAGGUCCAGACACAUUAAGGAUUGACAGAUUGAGCGUUCUUUCAUGAUCAUGUGGGUGGUGGUGCAUGGCCGUUCUUAGUUGGUGGAGUGAUUUGUCUGCUUAAUUGCGAUAACGAACGAGACCUUAACCUGCUAAAUAGCCACGGUCAGCUUAGGCUGAGUCGCCGGCUCUCUUAGAGGGACUAUCGGCUUUCAAGCCGAUGGAAGUUUGAGGCAAUAACAGGUCUGUGAUGCCCUUAGAUGCUCUGGGCCGCACGCGCGCUACACUGACAGAGCCAACGAGUGUUACCACCCUUGGCCGAAAGGUCCGGGUAAUUUGGUUAAACUCUGUCGUGCUGGGGAUAGAGCAUUGCAAUUAUUGCUCUUCAACGAGGAAUGCCUAGUAAGCGCAAGUAGUCAUCAGC
rnacentral:rRNA from 1 species